CCUACGGGAGGCAGCAGUGAGGAAUAUUGGUCAAUGGGCGUAAGCCUGAACCAGCCAAGUCGCGUGAGGGAUGAAGGUUCUAUGGAUCGUAAACCUCUUUUAUAAGGGAAUAAAGUGCGGGACGUGUCCCGUUUUGUAUGUACCUUAUGAAUAAGGAUCGGCUAACUCCGUGCCAGCAGCCGCGGUAAUACGGAGGAUCCGAGCGUUAUCCGGAUUUAUUGGGUUUAAAGGGUGCGUAGGCGGCCUUUUAAGUCAGCGGGGAAAGUCUGUGGCGCAACCAUAGAAUUGCCGUUGAAACUGGGAGGCUUGAGUAUGUUUGAGGCAGGCGGAAUGCGUGGUGUAGCGGUGAAAUGCUUAGAUAUCACGCAGAACCCCGAUUGCGAAGGCAGCCUGCCAAGCCAUGACUGACGCUGAUGCACGAAAGCGUGGGGAUCAAACAGGAUUAGAUACCCUGGUAGUC
rnacentral:rRNA from 1 species